CUGAACGCUAAACAAAUAGGGCCCUUGACGUCAAGCUAACACUGCUCAGAGCCUCCCAAAUGAAAAGGGAAGUAGAGCGUGUCUUCUAUGCAAAGUAAAUGCAAGACCUGCUUAUUGACCAACAACA
ensembl:snoRNA